rfam:Picoides pubescens contig90484, whole genome shotgun sequence.
CUAUAAAAGAUGUAACAGAUGCAAACUGUAAAACAAGGGCAAUUAACCCUUGCUCUCCUGAGCAGGAUCCCCUCCUCUCCUUCGCAUCUAUUGUCUUCUGCACUGGGAGUUUUAUACAAAACCUACAA